CCUACGGGAGGCAGCAGUGAGGAAUAUUGGACAAUGGAGGCAACUCUGAUCCAGCCAUGCCGCGUGCAGGAAGACUGCCCUAUGGGUUGUAAACUGCUUUUAUACAGGAAGAAAUGUACCUACGUGUAGGUAUUUGACGGUACUGUACGAAUAAGGAUCGGCUAACUCCGUGCCAGCAGCCGCGGUAAUACGGAGGAUCCAAGCGUUAUCCGGAAUCAUUGGGUUUAAAGGGUCCGUAGGCGGUCUUUUAAGUCAGAGGUGAAAUCCUACAGCUCAACUGUAGAAUUGCCUUUGAUACUGAAGGACUUGAGUUAUUGUGAAGUAGUUAGAAUGUGUGGUGUAGCGGUGAAAUGCAUAGAGAUCACACAGAAUACCGAUUGCGAAGGCAGAUUACUAACAAUAUACUGACGCUGAGGGACGAAAGCGUGGGUAGCGAACAG
rnacentral:rRNA from 1 species